ensembl:snRNA U6 U6 spliceosomal RNA
GUGCUCACUUGGGCAGCGCAUAUACUAAAAUUGGAACCAUACAGAGAAGAUUAGCAUGGCUCCUGCACAAGAAUGACAUGAAAAUUCAUGAAGCGUUCCAUAUUUUA